CAAGCCUGAUCCAGCAAUGCCGCGUGCAGGAUGAAGGCCUUCGGGUUGUAAACUGCUUUUGUACGGAACGAAAAGCCUCUCUCUAAUACAGGGGGGUGAUGACGGUACCGUAAGAAUAAGCACCGGCUAACUACGUGCCAGCAGCCGCGGUAAUACGAAGGGGGCUAGCGUUGCUCGGAAUCACUGGGCGUAAAGGGUGCGUAGGCGGGUUUCUAAGUCAGAGGUGAAAGCCUGGAGCUCAACUCCAGAACUGCCUUUGAUACUGGAAGUCUUGAGUUCGGGAGAGGUGAGUGGAACUGCGAGUGUAGAGGUGAAAUUCGUAGAUAUUCGCAAGAACACCAGUGGCGAAGGCGGCUCACUGGCCCGAUACUGACGCUGAGGCACGAAAGCGUGGGGAGCAAACA
rnacentral:rRNA from 1 species